CCACCAGUGAGAUACCACUCUGGAAGAGCUAGAAUUCUAACCUUGUGUCAGGACCUACAGGCCAAGGGACAGUCUUAGGUAGACAAUUUCUAUGGGGUGUAGGCCUCCCAAAAGGUAACGGAGGCGUGCAAAGGUUUCCUCGGGCUGGACGAAAAUCGGCCCUCGAGUGCAAAGGUAUAAGGGAGAUUGACUGCAAGACUGUUAAAUACCUAUACCAUAUCUACAAAUAUAAUAACCUCAAAUACUGAAUACACAAUAGAUCCACAAGCAAGAUAGAAGAAACCACACUUUAUUAUUACCAAACCCUUGAGGUAGGGCAACACCAUACAA
rnacentral:ncRNA from 1 species